rnacentral:rRNA from 1 species
AUACGGAGGGUCCGAGCGUUAAUCGGAAUUACUGGGCGUAAAGCGCGCGUAGGCGGCUAUAUAAGUCAGAUGUGAAAUCCCUGGGCUCAACCUAGGAACUGCAUUUGAAACUGUAUGGCUAGAGUAUGGUAGAGGUGAGUGGAAUUUCAGGUGUAGCGGUGAAAUGCGUAGAGAUCUGAAGGAACAUCAGUGGCGAAGGCGACUCACUGGGCCAUUACUGACGCUGAGGUGCGAAAGCGUGGGUAGCAAACAGGAUUAGAAACCCCAGUAGUCC